GGGAAUAUUGCACAAUGGGGGAAACCCUGAUGCAGCGACGCCGCGUGAGCGAAGAAGUACCUCGGUAUGUAAAGCUCUAUCAGCAGGGAAGAAAGUGACAGUACCUGACUAAGAAGCCCCGGCUAACUACGUGCCAGCAGCCGCGGUAAUACGUAGGGGGCAAGCGUUAUCCGGAUUCACUGGGCGUAAAGGGAGCGCAGGCGGCGCGGCAAGUCUGAUGUGAAAGCCCGGGGCUCAACCCCGGGUCUGCAUUGGAAACUGUCGAGCUAGAGUGUCGGAGGGGUAAGCGGAAUUCCUAGUGUAGCGGUGAAAUGCGUAGAUAUUAGGAGGAACACCAGUGGCGAAGGCGGCUUACUGGACGAUGACUGACGCUGAGGCUCGAAAGCGUGGGGAGCAAACG
rnacentral:rRNA from 1 species